AGCGAACGCUGGCGGCAGGCUUAACACAUGCAAGUCGAACGGGCUUCUUCGGAAGUCAGUGGCAGACGGGUGAGUAACACGUGGGAACGUGCCCUUCGGUUCGGAAUAACUCAGGGAAACUUGAGCUAAUACCGGAUACGCCCUUUUGGGGAAAGGUUGACUGCCGAAGGAUCGGCCCGCGUCUGAUUAGCUUGUUGGUGGGGUAACGGCCUACCAAGGCGACGAUCAGUAGCUGGUCUGAGAGGAUGAUCAGCCACACUGGGACUGAGACACGGCCCAGACUCCUACGGGAGGCAGCAGUGGGGAAUAUUGGACAAUGGGCGCAAGCCUGAUCCAGCUAUGCCGCGUGAGUGAUGAAGGCCUUAGGGUUGUAAAGCUCUUUUGUCCGGGACGAUAAUGACGGUACCGGAAGAAUAAGCCCCGGCUAACUUCGUG
rnacentral:rRNA from 1 species